rnacentral:rRNA from 1 species
AUUGAACGCUGGCGGCAUGCUUUACACAUGCAAGUCGAACGGCAGCGCGGGCUUCGUCCUGGCGGCUAGUGUCGAACGGGUGAGUAAUGCAUCGGAACUAGCCCACUAGUUGUGGAUAUCACCUCGAAAGCCGGAUUAAUACCGCAGACUACGUGAGGGUGAAAGCGGGUGACCGGAAGGCCGCGCUCGAUUGGGGCGGGCGAUGUCGGAUUAGCUAGUUUGUUGGGUAAAGGCUUACCAAGGCGACGAUCCGUAGCUGGUCUGAUAGGCCGACCAGCCACCCUGGGACUGAGACACGGCCAAGACGUCUAAGGGAGGCAGCAGUGGGGAAUUUUGGACACUGGGGGCAAUUAUGACCCAGCAAUGGCGCGUGUGGGAAGAAGGCUCUCGGGUUGUAAACCGCUUUUGUUCGGGAAGAAACACUUUGGGCUAAUACCCAGGGGGGAUGACGGUAACGGAAGAAUAAGCACCGGCUAACUACGUG